rnacentral:lncRNA from 1 species
GAUAAGUCUUAUAAAAUAUAUAGAUUUAUGAUGAUUAAGACUGAGCUAGCAGACGAGAAUCCUAGUCAUUGGCCAAGCAGCUUUGUACCUAAUAUGUCUCUGUAUUAUUUUGUCCAUCCCCGCAGCAAGCACAACUCAGGUGACUGGUGGAGACCGUCCACAAGGCGUUCACACUACCUCCCAAUGUGACCAUGCUGAUAAGAGCUUCUAAUGUAAACUCUUGGAGCAUAAAACACAUCCAAAUCUAUAGUAUCCACUAUCAAUACAAGGAAAAAGAUGAAGGAAAGGCCUGACUUUUGUAUCUAGUCACAGACACUGCCAGAAGGCAGCAACACAACAUGAAGCUCAUUCCAACUGAAACACAACAAAGGAGAUACCACAGAUAUUUUGAACAGGAUCUGGGGGCCAGAAGAGCAGGAAGAAGACGGAACACACAUCCAAAUAUAGUGGUGAAAAGGCAGGUUGUGACAAGGAAGUUAAUAUCCACCAGCAGGAAUGGUCAUUGUCUCUUUCCAAUAGCUGUUUUCUUAAGAAUGGUGCUGGAGAACAUCAUUUCAGUGAUGGACAAAAGUUAUCACACCUACUGCUACAUUACAAAGAAGGAUCUUUAUCAUGAAAAAGCUUUGUACUCUGCCAAAAGCCUUUUCUGCAUCUACUG